rnacentral:lncRNA from 1 species
GUACAGCCAUCGGGCUUGUACCGGUACAGAGCCGCAGACCCCGCGACCCGAGCCUCGGGUUUGCAUUUUCGUGGGCCUUUUACCGGUACAAGAGCCCGUGUACCGGUACAAGGAGGCAGAUUUCGUGCAGUUUGAACUGCAGGGGUGUUUUUGCUUUUGUAGCCUCUCUAUUAGUACCCCACGCCCCUUAGGGCUUCUCCUAAGCUCAGAUCACAGAGAGGGCAAGGUAGGGCACCCCUCUUCUCCUUCCCCCUUGGAUUUGAUCCCAUUCUCUUGGAUUUUGGAGGAUUAAACCCUCUUUUUGCUCUUUUUGCUUGUUGGAAGCUUUUCCUCCAUGGGAGCUUGACCUUGGAGCUUGGGGAGAGGGAGAUCUCCACACUUUGAGGAUUUUGAAUCUUGUUUGAAGCUUCUAAAAGGUUAGUAGCUCAUCCUUUUCCUCUAAAUUGAAGUUUUACCGUUGGAUUUGAGAUGAAACCUUAGAUUGUGAUAUUAGGGUUUAUUUUGGGUAUUUUGAAUCUAGGGCUUUUGAAGCUAGAUUGAUUGGUUUAGAGGCUUCCAUUAGGUGGGAUUGGAUGGACUCUAGCUCUCUUUCGGAGCUUUAGAGGAGAUUUUGCACUAGAGGUGAGUUUUCCUCCACCUAUGCUUGAAUAGCUUAAAGAUUGAACUUAGCGUCGUUCGUUUCGACUAGAUGACA